UUCCUCUCUUCCACUUGCUUAUUUUUCCAGGGUUAAAUUAUUCAGGAUUACCUGCCAGUAUGAAGUCACAUGAUAGCGUGACCUCGAGUGAGUCAAAAAAUGUCUGCAGGAGAUCAGGUGAAUGUUGCCUUCCCUCGCACACCUUCACAGGGAAACAUGAGAUGUGAAAUCAGACACCUGCCUUUUUCCCCUCCUCACAACUGUCCUCUCCUCUUUCCUCACCGUGCCUGCAUUGACUGUCCAUUUGGCUUGUAGUCUCUGUAGCGUUAUCACGUUUGGAUAGAGUGAGGAAUUGCAUUCAAACUCCAAAAGAUAUUCAGGACCUUCGGAAGCCACAUUAAGGUUUGGUUGACGUUGACAGGAAAUGGCCUGCAUCUACUGAAACAGCCAGCAAUCUCCUCAGGAACUUCAUGGCUGUUCGAGGCACCGUUCCUCCUCCGGAUUACUACCCCUUUGAUAUCGCUCUAUCUGCCCAGCCACCUGAAGAUCUGCAGGGCUUUUAUAAGGGAAACCAGCACAUGCUGAGCAGAUCUGGCUCUUAUUAUGGCCUGGCCACAGGAGGGGUCAGGUCUGCUUGGGAUCAAGGGCAAGCUAGGGCGACUACUCCUGCUCUUGCGCCCGGCCCUCCACCCCCUCCACCUCCUCCCCCGCCCUCGGCUCAUGAGAUCAGCCGUUUGUACAGGGAUUCUCUGGCCGUCAAGAUGAUCCAAGACAGUCAGUGUAUUCGCAGCAGAGCUGUCUCACCUGCUUGCUUCGGCUACGAGUCUGCAAGAUAUUCAGCCGAACAGGCCUCUCUAGGUGCCCACUCUGUUUACGGUGACGUCAACGGUUUUCCUCUAGAGUCCUGUCAGCCACCCUCCACCUGUAUCUUGAUGGAUCCCACAGCUUCAGUCAUGGAUGGGACUCUUUCUCGAGGGACUACAGCUUAUAACUCCGUAGCGAUGCAGAGGAUGCCCUAUGACCCCACUUAUGAUCCAAGCACAGGUAUGGUGACUGCUACACCGGCUCCACUGACUGCCAAUAUGCCCACCCAUCACCCUUCGGCAGGUGCAACCGUAGACCCAAAGAGAACCGUGGAUCCAGGGUUCCUGGCUCUGCUGCACUCUGAGGGUCUUUCGGAAAGCACCAUAACCCUUCUUCUCCAGCAGGGCUUCGAUUCCACUGCCAUGCUUGCCAUGAUGGAAGACCACGAUGUCCGCGCUGUGGCACCAAACCUGGGCCAGGCGCGUGUACUGUUUCGAGUUGUUCUUAAUUGUAAGACUGGUGCGACGGGUGCCACAGCCAUGCGAGGUCGUUCUAACAGCUUAAGCCACCGCAGUGAUCUCUACAUGGAGCCUCAGGCCCUCGGCAUGGAUGCCCAUCUCAUGCAGCAGCCUCCCAGUGUCCUGCAGUCCGUCUCCCCCAGAAUGGGAGAGUUUAUGGGUUGCCGGCCAAGCAGCGCUCCCUCUCAGCAUCUGCUUGAAACCACAGCAUACCCUGCGGUACGCUCAGUCAGUCCAGGCGGUUAUGGCACCGCGCUACCACAAACACGUCCCCUGUCUUUAUACAACACCCACAGUGGCCUCACCAUGUCCGGUUUGCCAGCUCAACAGCAGCCCAUAGCUCCAGCCACGCCUGGGGCAGCACCCAAGACCUUCUCCAGCAGUUACACUCCCAUGGAGCUGAUGAAGCGCCCACCAAACCUGCCUGCUCUUUCUCCAGCACAAAGCCCCCAUCACAGCCCUCAGUUACUGCGGAAAGGAGCAACUGUGGAGACUGCUGUCCUUCCGGCAUCUUCUGCCCAUCAGCCUCAAACCAUUAAUCCAAACAACAAACAGACCCGUCGAACUGGACCACCCGUUAUCGUAUCCACCAUGGCUUCUCCCGAAACAAGUAUCAGACCUCAGAUCAUGAACGGUCCUCUUCAUCCUCGUCCUCUGAUCGCUCUGUUGGACGGUCGUGACUGUACGGUUGAGAUGCCCAUACUGAAAGAUCUGGCCACUGUAGCGUUCUGUGAUGCCCAGUCCACACAAGAGAUACAUGAGAAGGUGUUAAAUGAAGCUGUUGGCGCUCUGUUGUAUCACACCAUCACACUCACACGAGAAGAUCUGGAGAAGUUUAAAGCUCUCAGAAUUGUUAUACGCAUCGGCAGCGGAUAUGAUAAUAUAGACAUUAAAGCUGCUGGAGAGCUCGGUAUUGCGGUGUGUAAUAUUCCUUCUGCAACGGUGGAGGAAACGGCCGACUCGACUCUGUGCCACAUUCUGAACCUCUACCGGAGGAACACGUGGCUGUAUCAGGCGCUGCGAGAGGGAACGCGUGUUCAGAGUGUCGAGCAUAUCCGUGAGGUGGCGUCAGGAGCUGCACGCAUCCGUGGAGAAACACUCGGACUCAUCGGCUUCGGUCGUUUGGGUCAGGCGGUCGCUGUGAGGGCAAAAGUGUUCGGCUUCAAUGUGAUCUUUUACGACCCAUACCUGCAGGACGGACUGGAGCGAUCGCUGGGCGUUCAGCGCGUGUACACACUGCAGGAUCUGCUGUACCAGAGUGACUGUGUGUCUCUACACUGUAACCUUAAUGAACAUAAUCAUCACCUCAUUAACGACUUCACCAUUAAACAGAUGCGUCAGGGUGCGUUCCUGGUGAACACCGCUCGGGGAGGUCUGGUAGAUGAGAAAGCUCUUACUCAGGCUCUGAAGGAGGGCAGAAUACGAGGAGCCGCUCUCGACGUUCAUGAGACUGAACCCUUCAGUUUUGCGCAGGGUCCUCUUAAAGACGCCCCAAAUCUGAUCUGCACUCCACAUACGGCCUGGUACAGUGAACAAGCGUCUCUAGAGAUGAGAGAAGCUGCGGCCACAGAGAUACGCAGAGCCAUCACAGGUCGUAUUCCAGACAGUUUGAGGAACUGUGUUAAUAAAGAGUUCUUUGUGACGUCGGGUCCGUGGGGUGUGAUGGAGCAGCAGGGCGUUCAUUCUGAGCUCAACGGUGCCGCCUACAGCCAAGUCAACCAAUGACUGCAAGCCAUCACAACAAGAUCCGCACCCCCAAGACAAAUUCAAUGCCUAAAUGAAGAGCAGGUUCCCAUCAGAUGUGGCUGGAGUGGCACCAGAGGGCGUUCCAGCGGGUUUGGAGGGUCUGGUGCCAGUACUGCACUCGGGCAACCAGCAGUGUUAAAUGCUGUCCCCAAACCAGCAGAGACCACCUCACAGAGCAUUAGCAUUAGCAUCAAAACACAAACCCAGAGAACUGUGAUCCAACAGGAACUUGUUUUAGAGGGAAAUCUCUGCCUCUUUUAUUUGAUGAUUUUCCUUUUUACUGUUUUGGAGGAAACUGAUGUUUUAUUCAUGCGACUGCAGCACAGAGGCUCCGCCCCUCCACUAUCAUUGGAAAAUAAACUUGCCAUGCUGAAUGGACCACACCCACUUUAUUUUCCUGUUAGUUUGCAGUGUGUCUUUUUUGAAAGAGUUUUUUUUCCUUCUUUCAUCUCUUAAGUGUGAAUAAUUGACUUUAAAAACGGUUUUGAAAAAUAAUUUAAUAAACACAUCAGACAAUGACUACAGUGACCUGCUCCAGGCCACGCCCACUGAUCCAUCCAACACAAUGAUUGACAGCGCAGUGCUCUUCUCUGAUUGGCCAAGGAGUGUUACAUCAAACUAAACAUUUCUCACGUGUGCGUGUUUUAUUUGCAUACCCGUUCAUCAAACUGUGACGUGUAUAAAUGUAGAUUUUAAAUACGGUUCUCUUCUGGUUCAGCAGAUGACAACAGCUUCAUCCUGCUGUACGACUCAGGAAAAUCACAGUCACGAUUCCCGCUGAAAUUUUGUGACAAAAUAGACUCUGAAGUGUUUUGACUGAAUUAAGAUGAUCUUUAUAUUUUCUCUUGUGCAGUCCUGUUUCACUGACGUUAGUAUUUUUAUAAGACAACACAUGCUCUCGUGGUUUUGAUGUUUCAAACUGAAAAUGUAAAGUUUUUGCAGGUCUGGUAGGAUUUUAUUGGCUAGAUAAACUGUUACUGUAAACAACAGUCGUGUGUGACUCUCAUGAUCCGUGUCUUUUAUUUGGUUCUAUUGAACGUGUUUGUCAGAAAGAGAGAAACUCUCCGUUGGGAGUUUUAUUUGUUUCUUUAGUGUUUAUUUGUAUUUGUUCCACUUCAAAUAAAACGUGCGGUUUUGA